GUUUAGCUAGGGUCUAGUUCCUCUUUGUUCUGCCGGCCAGCAACUCAAUCUGCCCCUCAAGGGCAGGGGGAGCUCCUCCCUUAGCCCGAAUGUAGGUUAUACCCUCCCCUCCGAGAUGGGUUGUAGAUAGGAUAUUUUGUUUUUGGUUUACAGGUCUGCAGUUGAAAAUGAGGGUUUAUUUUGACCUGUUUGGCUCUGUGUUAGCUUUCAUGUGUUUUUGUGUUUGUGUUGUUACUCUUGCAGGGAAAUUGUUUCAAUGGCUGUGGUAGAGAGAGGGAGGUACCUCAAGGGUCAAGAGUUGACCGAGUGAGUGUCCCCCCCUCCGGCUAUAUGAGAAUGAGAAGCCACAGGGCUUCACCUUUCUUUCAAAUUUCUGCUCCCUUCAAGCUUUGUAUCUAGGGGCCUUAGCAUUGCUUUUAUAUUUCCUACCCAUUUAAUCUCAACAACAGUGCUGCCAUGACUGCUGCUUCUGUUUUCAGGAGAUCUUCUAGUUUGCCUGGCCUUUUUCACCAUGAGUUACUUUCGGGACCCCCUUUUCAGGCAAUUCAGCUGUUUGUAGUCCAUUGACGCUUCAAUCGAAGUUGUCUUUCCUUGGUGAAAGUUCGGUCAUCUCUCUAUGCAGCUCCUUCUAUGACGGCUUUUGGUUUCUUCAGACACGUGUCAUGGGUCUAGGCAAUGGUGCAUCAUCAGCUAUUUUUGAUGGGCUUGGACCCUCUUUAAGAAUAUGGUUGGAUUUGUUUAGAUAGGUCUCUGUAAAUUGGGUCACGAGUCCCUUUUCUAAACUAAAAUUGUAAAUUGUUUCAUAUAUCAAUAAAUUUUAAUAUCUU
rnacentral:misc_RNA from 1 species